AGUGAACGCUGGCGGUAGGCCUAACACAUGCAAGUCGAACGGCAGCACAGUAAGAGCUUGCUCUUACGGGUGGCGAGUGGCGGACGGGUGAGGAAUACAUCGGAAUCUACUUUUUCGUGGGGGAUAACGUAGGGAAACUUACGCUAAUACCGCAUACGACCUACGGGUGAAAGCAGGGGAUCUUCGGACCUUGCGCGAUUGAAUGAGCCGAUGUCGGAUUAGCUAGUUGGCGGGGUAAAGGCCCACCAAGGCGACGAUCCGUAGCUGGUCUGAGAGGAUGAUCAGCCACACUGGAACUGAGACACGGUCCAGACUCCUACGGGAGGCAGCAGCGGGGAAUAUUGGACAAUGGGCGCAAGCCUGAUCCAGCCAUACCGCGUGGGUGAAGAAGGCCUUCGGGUUGUAAAGCCCCUUUGUUGGGAAAGAAAAGCAGCAGGUUAAUACCCCGCUGUUCUGACGGUACCCAAAGAAUAAGCACCGACUAACUUCGUG
rnacentral:rRNA from 1 species